GCAAAGGUUUUCUUCAAAACCGCAGCAUUGUUUUUGAAAAGGUUUG
rfam:Ancylostoma ceylanicum strain HY135 Acey_s0114_scaf, whole genome shotgun sequence.